rnacentral:lncRNA from 1 species
GGGAAAGAAGCACCCAGUGGCACUGAGUAUAGUAGUAUCUAGUGUCUGGACCCAGCUCACUCUGCUUCUCAAAGCAAGACCCGAGGAGCAGAGGUAUCUGUUCUAUUCACUUUGUUUUUGCACUUGGAUUCUGACAGGAAUUUAAGCCACUGGGAUCAGGAGUGCAUUAGGGCACAGUUAUGGCAAGACACUUGUCUGGGAGUCACUCAUUUUCAAAAGAAAACUGGACACAUUUCCAUCAGGCAGCAAGUGAAAAAUAUUCAGAGAGAUCUAUUUUGAUAUUUAAUCUCCAAAUCUUAUAUUUGGGAUUGAGGUCAAUAUCCUAUUUGAUAGUCUCCCAGCUAAGAAUCUACUUUCAUUUGCUCACUGCCUGUUGUGUAUGCAAAACGAGUACAACAUUAAUCUAGUGCAAAUGGCAUCUACGAAAUUUUCCAGGAACAUUAGCAGAUUGUUGGCACUUUACGAAGGACUUCGCAGGACCAGAAUGAGCUUGACACAGAGAAAGAGUCUCACUGUGUUGCCAGUGUUGGUCUGAAACUCCUAUCUUCAAGUGAUCCUCCUGCCUCGGCCUCCCAAAGCUCUGGAAUUACAGGCAUGAGCCACCAUACCCAGCCCUUGACAGAGUUUAACGAGUGACACUGUCUUGAAUCUGAUGUUGGUGUUCUGAAGUACAAU